GCGUUAGGCCACUAUCUUCCUUGCCUCCUGCUGGGUCAAGAUGGUCUCUGCUGCAUUUCCGGGCCACAUGUGCUGAGAGAAGAGCAGAUGUGAGUGGCUGCCCCAACUUCAACAUUAGAGACACCCUGGGCACGAAGGACCAAGGGAAAGUUCUAUGCCCAGACACACCGCGUCAAUUAGACUCCACUGUAGACUCUGCCGUGACAUCCUCAGCCAUGCCACCACAGUGAAGAAAAAUCAGCUGCAGAGUGAAAUGGCUAAGAGGACAUGCCCUGAGCAGCUGUGGAGAGAAUAAGAGAUUAACAAUCAUCUGAGACAGACAAAUGCUGAAGCUGAGUUGUAAAACCACUUUGUUAGCCGGGCGGUGGUGGCACACACCUUUAAUCCCAGCUCUCGGGAGGCAGAGGAAGGCAGAUCUCCGUGAGCUUGAGGUCAG